UACGGAGGGUGCGAGCGUUGUCCGGAAUCACUGGGCGUAAAGGGCGCGCAGGCGGCCUGAUAAGUAGGGGGUGAAAUCCUGCGGCUUAACCGCAGGGCUGCCUUCUAAACUGUCAGGCUAGAGCACAGUAGAGGCAGGUGGAAUUCCCGGUGUAGCGGUGGAAUGCGUAGAGAUCGGGAAGAACACCAGAGGCGAAGGCGGCUAGCUGGAUAGGCACUGACACUGAACUACGAAAGCGUGGGGAGCAAACAGG
rnacentral:rRNA from 1 species